rnacentral:rRNA from 1 species
UACAGAGGUCCCAAGCGUUGUUCGGAUUCAUUGGGCGGAAAGGGUGCGUAGGCGGCGUCGUAAGUCGGGUGUGAAAUCUCGGGGCUUAACUCCGAAACUGCAUUCGAUACUGCGGUGCUUGAGGACUGGAGAGGAGACUGGAAUUUACGGUGUAGCAGUGAAAUGCGUAGAGAUCGUAAGGAAGACCAGUGGCGAAGGCGGGUCUCUGGACAGUUCCUGACACUGAGGCACGAAGGCCAGGGGAGCAAACGGG